UACGUAGGGGGCAAGCGUUGUCCGGAUUUAUUGGGCGUAAAGAGCGUGUAGACGGCUUUGCAAGUCCGUUGUGAAAACUCGAGGCUCAACCUCGAGACGCCGGUGGAAACUGCAAAGCUAGAGUCCGGAAGAGGAGAGUGGAAUUCCUGGUGUAGCGGUGAAAUGCGCAGAUAUCAGGAAGAACACCCGUGGCGAAGGCGGCUCUCUGGGACGGUACUGACGCUGAGACGCGAAAGCGUGGGGAGCGAACAGG
rnacentral:rRNA from 1 species